GUCAAUUGUACUUUGAUUGCUAUUUUUUCUCGAAUUCUUAUGUACUGCAUAAAAUUACGAAUAUGUAAUGAUAGAGAGGAGCUUACUAAGGCAGUUUUCACUUCAGAAACCAUUUAUUUAUUCCGUUGAUACACAACACAGAAUCGAAUAAGAGUACCGUCAUUGAGAUUAGCAUACUCAAAGGCAGUUAAUCUUUGAAAAGUGAACCUCAAAGGUCGGAUCAAUUGCUCUAACAACAAGGAAAUUGCUCUUUCAUUUCAGAUUAUAAAUUAAGAUAUAUAUCGUAACCUUUAAUCGAAAGUGAAUGAAACUUGGUACCUCGAAUAUUUUCAACGGCUCAGAAUGGAGAUUGAUAACCAACCGUACCUGAAAUCUUUAUAUCAGCGCAUUGCAUUUCCUUCCACCGAGUAUGUAAAAUUAGCCUCGACGACCAAACGACUUCCUCCGGCAGCGAAAUUGAAAAUAUCUGUCAGGCCCACAAAUACAUUGCAGGUGGUGUUUUCUCUCAAUAAUGGCUCCUGAAAAAAACGCUAAAAAAAGUCAUUACUAGACACUGUUUUCGCUCACGAUUACCACUUGUACAAAACUCAUUACACUUUUACUUAGAAUAUUCAUUUGAAUUUGAUUUUCAUUGAUAAUUUUGGCACUGAAUAUGUGUUUGUUUUUCCUGCCGCAGAGAAAGCGUCGUUUUCUACAGCAAUACGAAGAUGUUUCUAAUAUUGCUAAUUUAUAUAUUUCAACCUUAUCAGAUCUACAGAACAUUGUUCUUUCAUUUAACACUUACCAUCAUCAAAAUUAAAUUCAUUACUUUUGUGAAAUUACUUGUUAAAAUCCAACACUUUUACUUUGCAUUUUGUUUAUCCUUGCCACAUAUAAAUGGCUGUCAAACUCUGCUUCGGUAUCCCGAAUUCUCUGAAGUUGAAGUCGACCCUUGGCUAGUUUCCACGGACUUAUGAGGGAUUAAAGUUACGAUUAAUAAAAAGAAGUCGUUUUUUAAAACGCUUCCAAAAGAAAUCAGCUCCCAUCAAAAUUGAUCAUAUGAUGAUAAAAAAUGUAGUUUUGGUUAUCUGCCACUUCAUGUACAAAGAUUUAAAAACUAAAUACGGCUUGAUAAGCCGUAGUAUGAUGACCGUAGCGUAGAAUUGCUCAUAUAAUACCCGGAACCCACUGAUAAUUAUGA